CCGUGCGCAAAAGAAACCCGACGCCAGAUUUGGGCUACGCGAUCGGAGUAAGGUUGUUAUGUUGCAGCCGAUUCUUUCUCCUUAUUUUGAUGUGUUGAUGGAUCGAUAUGCUUUUGGAUCGACGAACCGGCCUAGGGCUUCUGAUUGUUGCUGAAAGAUCCCAAGAGUUAUCCUGCAUUCUUCAAUUUAAUCUUGUUAGACAGUGUUACUUUAUGCCGACAGAUUGUGUCUGUUUUAAGAAUACAAUGGAGAAGAUUUCUGUAGGUGAAAUUUGGUUAAAUGUCAUACAUGCCGAACUGAAUCCAUGCACGAAUGCAAGACCAGUAGGAUGUUUCAUACCUUCUGGGUUUGCUAGUAAUGACAAAAUGCUGAAUAUCAAGCCCCAUGGGUCCCAACUGUUGUUUGUUCAUUGCUGGCGUGUCUUGGCUCAUGGAAGGGCAUCUGGCUGGAAGACUAUUGCAUGACCUGCUAUCAUGCCAGUUGAGCAUUCAUCCAUGUCAGGCUCAUGGAAUGAUAGUAUUUAUGGGAUAUCCACAUAGUCUUAUGCUGGAAAAUAGGAAAAGCUACAUGUCGUGUGGCGAAUAAUCAUUCAAGAUGUGGUUCAGAAGCAGAGUGAGAUUUCAUCCAGAUCAGUUAGGGACUGAAUCUACCCCAUCUUUAGCUAUAUCUAUGGAACCAGAAAGGGAAUCUUGGAAAUUAUUUUCUGCUCAUGGUGUGAAAAUUUAGUCUUUGUAUAUUUUGCACAGGCGCCAGUGCAAUGUCUUCACAGAUCUGUGUGUGGAUGUGUGUGAGGAUAUGUGCUUUUCUGUCUGAUGGUUUCCUUUUGUCUUUCUACUUUGGUUGCAACAUAUAUAGCCCACCAAGGCUGGACACACCUAACAGCCAAAGGCAGUUGAUCUUGCAGACUGGGUAUAUUAUAAUUAUGAAAUGAAGAACUUUACAAGCCAUAUCAGUUGGAUUUUUUUUCUCAAGCAGUCUUUUAGGCUUCUGGUUGAUGAAGAAAUUGAAGUAUUGUAAAACCUUCAAAAUGGAAGUAGUUCAUCUUUGGAUGGUCAAGUUAGUUCUUGUUCUGACCUAAGGAAUCCUUUUUCUCCAUCUCCAUAUUCCCUGUAUCUCAUGCAGCUCGUGCUCUUUCACCUUGAUGAUCAACUAUAUCAAAAUUCUUCCCCUUGGUGUUUGAGCUUCACUUUUUUCUGCUAGUUCACUGAAUAGUUUUCUCUUGAUGUCUAGACCAAACACGUUACAACUUCUGAUAUGCUUCAAUGCUCUUUUACAGUUGACGAUGUCAUACAUGAAGUGAUUGAGGGUCACAAUGCUAUGUUGGUACAUAUGGUAUUAUGGUUUUACAUGGAAAUGAUAUGGAUUCAUCAAAGGGCAUUUUUACUGGAACAAUUCAG